rnacentral:lncRNA from 1 species
CCUUUUCUCCAGCAUCGCUCCAUGGGCAUCAGCUGUUUUCACUCAGCAGCCCAUCAGGUUGUAUAAAAUGAGGGGUUUUGCCUUCUUGCUUUUCCUCUGCACGUUUGUGGUAGCAGCUAUAGGCAGCAGCUUGGGGUACAGGCAGACUGCAGACAGGGGAGAACACCUGGGGGGUUUUAUUCUCCUUUAAGGUCUUAAGGAUGAAGUUGUGCUCUGCUCAUCAAGCAGUGGCUGGUGGCAUUUGGUGGCAGGAUUUGUCAGAUAGAAAGAAUACCCUGAUGUGCUCUGGGAAAAUUAAGAAGAGGAAGGAUAAUUUCAGGCUUAAUUUAGCAAACUUUUUAUACAGGCACCCACUGGGGAGGAAGGGUAGUCAGCCAGUUAAAAUACUGCCUUUGUACAGAGCACUUGGCCUUUGGCUUUUCCACAGGCUUCCUGUAGAACCUGUAAUAAAAUCACUGGGAGACAAUCAUUUUUGAAGUCCUUUAGGCAAGUAAAAUCCUUAGGAAAUUGCUCUGGAGAAUUGUCUUGUGUUCAUGCCUCAGUUUCUCAAAUAUAUAUAUAUAUUUUAUAUUUAUAUAUAUAUAUAUAAAGCAGUAGUAUAACUUCUACUCCAUCUGCGUUGUCCUCUCAGGCACAGGGCAUCUCUGAGGUUGGGUUUACACUUUGCUAUGAAGAAGAGUGAGGGUUGGGUGAGGUCUGCAUGUGUCACCUGCGUGCCCUGCUGGCUCUCCCUUUUCCAUGGCAGGGCUGUGGCAGCCUCAGCAAGCACCGAGCAGAGGAUGGGGCUGGCCAUGGGGCUGGUUCCUUUGCAGCGGUCCUCUGGAAAACUGGUCUCUAGAACAGCAUCACUGCAGCCCACCUGGUGUUGAUGAGCACAGGGUCUGGAGCUGUGUCCUGAUGUUCCCUGGAGAAGCACUAAGCACCACCUCAGCAAACCACCCUCCGUGGUGGGCUGCAACUGCUGAGGUUGUCUUGCAGGGAUCACUCCCAAUGGGAAAGUGGGGGCGCUGCGAGGAAUCCUUUCCCUGUCCAGCACCGAUGAGCAAAUCACCAUCUAGAAUUGCAAACAUCAGCCCUCACUAUCUGAUGUGUGCAACCUGAACUGACAUCUCCUGAGCCAUGGCACUCUUGCAGCUUGGAACUCCUAGAAUCUCUGCUCCAACAGUUUGCUUCCCAAGCUGCAAGCAGAAAAUCAUAAAUAUUUCCCCACAAAAUAUUUUGGAAAGAAACAAAGCAUUUCCACUUUUUCCAUUUUUUUUUAAAUAAACUUUCCA